AGAGACACCGUCCCCUCAUGUCUCUAGAACUUUCCUUUCCACCGCCUUAAAUAUACAUCUUCUCUCUCCUCCGCAUUACAAAAAACACUACCCAGAAGAUCUCAAAGUUCUCAAAUUUCACUCAAAGCUCAAAUUGAUCAACUAAAUUCCGUUAAAUUGCAUCCAAUUCCAAAACCCAAUUCUUGCAACUCUCUGGGAAUGUAAAAAAUCCUCACUUUGAAAGUGAGAGCACGAAUUGGGGGUGCGUGAGAAACAGAGCAAUACCAUGGAUGGAGUGGCGGUGAAAGAGGAAGAGAUUGUGACAUGCACUGUUGGUUCAUCAUCCUCUUCUUCUUCAAGCUUCUCACCUCAGCCAAUAGAGGGCUUACACGAAGUGGGCCCUCCCCCUUUUCUCACAAAGACCUUUGAAAUGGUGGAGGAUCCUUCUACAGACGCCAUUGUCUCCUGGAGCAGAGCUCGCAACAGCUUCGUUGUUUGGGACUCUCAUAAGUUCUCCACCACUCUUCUUCCUCGCUACUUCAAGCACGGGAACUUCUCCAGCUUCAUUCGUCAGCUUAAUACAUAUGGUUUUAGAAAGGUUGAUCCUGACCGAUGGGAAUUUGCCAACGAAGGGUUUCUGGGAGGGCAGAGGCAUUUACUGAAGACCAUCAAGAGGAGGAGGCAUAUGUCACAGAGUAUGCAACAAGAAGGUGGAGGAGGAGCUUGUGUUGAACUGGGCCAGUAUGGACUGGAGACUGAGCUUGAAAGAUUGAAGAGAGACCGAAAUGUUUUAAUGACUGAAAUAGUGAGGCUGAGGCAGCAACAACAAAAUUCAAAAGAACAAGUCAUGGCAAUGGAGGGUCGGUUGCAGACCACAGAGAAAAAACAACAGCAGAUUAUGGCUUUCCUUGCUAAAGCACUCAAUAGCCCAUCUUUUAUCCAAAACCUUGUUGAGAAGAAGGCUCGGAAUAAAGAGUUGCGUGGUAUGGAAAUUGGUCGAAAGCGGAGAUUAUCAGCUAGCCCCAGUGUGGAGAAUCUGCAAGAAAAACCUAAAACCCAUGUUGCGGACUACUCAGCAAGCCAAGAUCAGGGAGAGUUGGAAACUAUCGGAUCGCAGAUUGAGACCUUUUUCUCAGCUGCUGCAUUGGAUAAUGAAUCAAGCAGUGAUAUCAUAGACCCUCAUUCAAGUUCGGUUGGUGGCAACUUCGGCAUUGUUAAUGAGACUACAUGGGAGGAGCUGUGGAGCGAUGAGCUCAUUGGUGGCAAUCCGGAGGAAGACGUUAUUGUGGUGGGCGAUGAAUCAGAUAUCGAUGUCGCGGUGGAGGAUUUGGUUGCAGAGCCAGCAGAUUGGGGUGAGGACUUGCAAGAACUUGUUGAUCAAAUGGGUUAUCUAAUCAGGUCCAAGCCUUGAUGUUAAGAAAAUGUCUGUGAUGAUGAAGUGGUUGUGUGCUGAGUUGGCCCCUGCAACCCCAUUCCUAUCUUUAAUCCAGAUAUUGCAUGAGGGAUGGUCAAAGUUGCAAAGGGGCCAACGAUGUAGUAGCUGUUUUUUUCAGUAUCCUUUAAUAAUUAUUCAUAUCUAGUGUGUGUAAUAUUUUCUUGACAUUUUCGAAGUUGUGUCAAUGGUUUUGAUUUGCUGUUUCUUCCUUGAUGCUUUGCAGGCGGACCGGCCGACGGAGACCUUUGAGGGGUUCCGAUCCUUGAACUUAUACUUCUGAUAUAUCUUCAGAUUGCUGUAGCCAGUGUACAUUUGUUCAUUCAAGUAUGUAUAUUUAGCACUUAGCAGUUAAGUCAGUUGUCUUGUAUGCUACUAUUGGAGACCUGGAGUGCAUGAAGUUAGUUUCUCUACAAAAUAUGAGAAAGUGGUUAUUGGUGUUCAAAUGCUUUUCAUUGAGUGCUGCAGAUCCACUGCGUUAAGAAUUUCUGCUUGCAAAUAUUGAAGAAACUUCUCACUACCUGAAAUUAUGUAAAUGUAAAAACAGUUGAUUGUACAUGUCUUGUUCAGGGCUGCUGUGUAGCUAGCUGUUCUUUUAGCUUAAACUGUCACUCUUCCUUUGAUGCAAUAGAACUCCUUAUUUGUCAAUAAAGUUGACUUUUAUUUUGUCA